UACCAAGACAACUACUGUACUGUAGCUAUUUAGCUAGCUAGACUUGCUAGCUACUUCAGUGGAUGUUGGCACAUUUCUAUUGGCAAAGGAAUACAUUUUAGAGGCAAAUAUGUUAAUUUAUAGCCAUGGUAUGAUAGGAAUAAUCAAUUCAGGGCUCUGUGCGUUCUCCGGAAAAUAAUGCAACUCCACGAUGCGUUARCACACCUUCCACAUCGUGCACUAUAUUCCAAAGAACGCAAUUCAGGCAUUCAUCUCCUCCGGUGAUGCUAGAGAGAAUGGAUGUCAGUGUUAUGGAGCUCUGGGAGGGUCUGUCUUUCUCCAGCUGACUGAUACCAGAGGAUAUACAUUCUUAUUAUAAAAAGACCCCAAUGAUAAAGCUACAGACAUAGUCAACAUUUUAAAUGAUUUAGUGAGARUGCAUGACUCCAUUAAAGCUAGAUCAGAGUUCUUCAUGAACAACAGGACAUUUAGGAUAUCUAACACAGAAAGGACGGAUUCUGAUGAAUACCUCUUAGAAACAUUUCAUUCUAAUGGAAGUUCAUUGGCCACCAGAAGACUAGACCUGUUCAUUGAAGGUAAAGAGCUAUCUCAACAACAAACAGACGUAUGACUAUUAGCUUCCAAAGAAAUAUACAGUAAUUUGACACAAUGUAGAUAUGUUUUUUGUCUGUUUGCUGAAGUUGCCUUAAUCCCCACAGMUCCAGUGUCCGUCUCAUGGAUAGAUGAGGGUGUCCUGCUCCUCUGAGGCGGACGGUAGUACAGCUGAACUCUGGAUGGACAGACACUGAGAGACACUGAGACCUCUCCUGGUGAUGAGACAAACACCAUCACUCUGAAGAAAGGCCUGUCAGRAGAUCUCACCUGUACCGUCCAGAAACCACAUCAGCAGGUGUCCAGGAACAGGGUUCAMUGUGUUUGUUUAUUUCCAACCUGCUGAAGUCUUCAUUCUGCUGACAGUCURUCUGGGAUCAUACUGUUUCUACAGAAGAAAACCUGUCCUCAAGAACAUUAUAAUAGUCAGUAAGCAGAGUGUAUGGAUUCUUUCAGGUGGAUCAUGGUAGAUCUCAGAAGAGCGUGUUGAUGCCCUGAGAGUUGCUAUGGGGACAAACCAGGCUGUGAGAUUACCUUAUGAAAUAACUGCUAAUGAUUAUAUAAUAUUUCUUACAGUUGAAAAUGUUUGUAGCUCUUUUAACCUUUAUUAAUUAAGCUGUAAUUAUAAUUUUGUGUAAGUACUUAUUAUUAAAUGUAUAGCACAAUGUAUUGCAUUGCAAUGUUUUGUUUUAYAUUGCUUGUGAUAUACAUUCUYACUGUGUUCAUAAUGUUAUGAUUUKAUGUAUUUGUGCGAUUUUGAAUGCAUAGAAGUAAAAGCAAGCUACCUA